GAUGAAGACGUAGUGAAAUGCGAUACGUAAUGUGAAUUGCAGAAUUCAGUGAAUCAUCGAGUCUUUGAACGCACAUUGCGCCCCCUGGUAUUCCGGGGGGCAUGCCUGUCCGAGCGUCAUUGCUGCCCUCAAGCACGGCUUGUGUGUUGGGCCUCCGUCCUCCUCCCGGGGGACGGGCCCGAAAGGCAGCGGCGGCACCGCGUCCGGUCCUCGAGCGUAUGGGGCUUCGUCACCCGCUCUUGUAGGCCCGGCCGGCGCUUGCCGACACAUCAAUCUUUUUUCCAGGUUGACCUCGGAUCAGGUAGGGAUACCCGCUGAACUUAAGCAUAUCAAUAAGCGGAGGA
rnacentral:misc_RNA from 1 species